GGCAGUGGUAGAUCAGUGGUUAAGACAUUGGAUUACUGAUUAAAAGGAUGUGAGUUCAAAUCCCAGCACUGCUA